rnacentral:rRNA from 1 species
AUUGAACGCUGGCGGCAUGCCUUACACAUGCAAGUCGAACGGCAGCACGGGGGCAACCCUGGUGGCGAGUGGCGAACGGGUGAGUAAUAUAUCGGAACGUACCCUGGAGUGGGGGAUAACGUAGCGAAAGUUACGCUAAUACCGCAUACGAUCUAAGGAUGAAAGUGGGGGAUCGCAAGACCUCAUGCUCCUGGAGCGGCCGAUAUCUGAUUAGCUAGUUGGUGGGGUAAAGGCCUACCAAGGCAUCGAUCAGUAGCUGGUCUGAGAGGACGACCAGCCACACUGGGACUGAGACACGGCCCAGACUCCUACGGGAGGCAGCAGUGGGGAAUUUUGGACAAUGGGGGCAACCCUGAUCCAGCAAUGCCGCGUGAGUGAAGAAGGCCU